GAUGAACGCUGGCGGCGUGCCUAAUACAUGCAAGUCGAGCGAACAGACGAGGAGCUUGCUCCUCUGACGUUAGCGGCGGACGGGUGAGUAACACGUGGAUAACCUACCUAUAAUACUGGGAUAACUUCGGGAAACCGGAGCUAAUACCGGAUAAUCUCUUGAACCGCAUUGUUCAAUAGUGAAAGACGGUUUUGCUGUCACUUAUAGAUGGAUCCGCGCCGCAUUAGCUAGUUGGUAAGGUAACGGCUUACCAAGGCAACGAUGCGUAGCCGACCUGAGAGGGUGAGCGGCCACACUGGAACUGAGACACGGUCCAGACUCCUACGGGAGGCAGCAGUAGGGAAUCUUCCGCAAGGGGCGAAAGCUUGACGGAGCAACGCAGCGUGAGUGAUGAAGGUCUUCGGAUCGUAAAACUCUGUUAUUAGGGAAGAACAAAUGUGUAAGUAACUAUGCACGUCUUGACGGUACCUAAUCAGAAAGCCACGGCUAACUACGUG
rnacentral:rRNA from 1 species